rnacentral:rRNA from 1 species
GAUGAACGCUGGCGGCGUGCCUAAUACAUGCAAGUCGAGCGAACAGACGAGGCGCUUGCUCCUCUGACGUUAGCGGCGGACGGGUGAGUAACACGUGGAUAACCGACCUAUAAGACUGGGAUAACUUCGGGAAACCGGAGCUAAUACCGGAUAAUAUAUUGAACCGCAUGGUUCAAUAGUGAAAGACGGUUUUGCUGUCACUUAUAGAUGGAUCCGCGCCGCAUUAGCUAGUUGGUAAGGUAACGGCUUACCAAGGCAACGAUGCGUAGCCGACCUGAGAGGGUGAUCAGCCACACUGGAACUGAGACACGGUCCAGACUCCUACGGGAGGCAGCAGUAGGGAAUCUUCCGCAAUGGGCGAAAGCCUGGCGGAGCAACGCCGCGUGAGUGAUGAAGGUCUUCGGAUCGUAAAACUCUGUUAGUAGGGAAGAACAAAUGUGUAAGUAACUAUGCACGUCUUGACGGUACCUAAUCAGAAAGCCACGGCUAACUUCGUG